CAGAGAUUAGGUAAUUAUUUUAUUUACAAUAAAAAUUUUGGUUGUUCAAUUCAACUAUUUCUGA
rnacentral:tRNA from 1 species